GUGCCAUUCUUAACUGUAUGCCCUUGCAAUCCAGUAAAGAGCUUUUGGAAUAAGGGCUGGGCAAGACCGGUGCCAGCCGCCGCGGUAACACCGGCAGCUCUAGUGGUAGCAGUUUUUAUUGGGCCUAAAGCGUCCGUAGCCGGUUUAAUAAGUCUCUGGUGAAAUCCUGUAAUCCCACUGUCAGGCUGCUAGGGGAUACUGCUAGGCUUGGGACCGGGAGAGGUGAGAGGUACCUUGGGGGUAGGGGUGAAAUCUUGUAAUCCCA
rnacentral:rRNA from 1 species